rnacentral:rRNA from 1 species
CAGUCGCCGCGGUAAUACGUAGGUCCCGAGCGUUGUCCGGAUUUAUUGGGCGUAAAGCGAGCGCAGGCGGUUAGGUAAGUCUGAAGUUAAAGGCUGUGGCUUAACCAUAGUAUGCUUUGGAAACUGUUUAACUUGAGUGCAAGAGGGGAGAGUGGAAUUCCAUGUGUAGCGGUGAAAUGCGUAGAUAUAUGGAGGAACACCGGUGGCGAAAGCGGCUCUCUGGCUUGUAACUGACGCUGAGGCUCGAAAGCGUGGGGAGCAAACAGGAUUAGAUACCCCUGUAGUCCCUGUCUCUUAUACA